AGUAUAAGCAAUUUAUACAGCGAAACUGCGAAUGGCUCAUUAAAUCAGUUAUGAUCUACAUGACAAAUUUUUUACUACUGGAUAACCGUGGUAAUUCUAGAGCUAAUACAUGCAGAAAAGCCCUGACUUCGGAAGGGGCGCACUUAUUAGGUCAAAACCAUCCCACCUUUACCGGUGGUUUUAUGGUGACUCAUAAUAAUUAAGCUGAUCGCAUGGCCUUGAGCCGGCGACGGUACAUUCGAUUUUCUGCCCUAUCAGGCUUAUGAUGGUAAGGUAGUGGCUUACCAUGGCUAUCACGGGUAACGGGGAAUUAGGGUUCGAUUCCGGAGAGGGAGCCUGAGAAACGGCUACCACAUACAAGGAAGGCAGCAGGCGCGCAAAUUACCCAAUACCGACACGGUGAGGUAGUGACAAUAAAUAACAAUGCAGGGUCUUUAUGGUCUUUGCAAUUGGAAUGAGUACAAUUUAAAUCCCUUAACGAGGAUCAAUUGGAGGGCAAGUCUGGUGCCAGCCGCCGCGGUAAUUCCAGCUCCAAAAGCGUAUAUUAAAGUUGUUGCAGUUAAAACGUCCGUAGUCGAACUUACGCCUUGUGGCUAUGCAGCUGGUCAUUCAUUUGGCUAGAUUUGUUUUAGCCCGGGUGAUAAAGUUUGGGUAUGAUCAUGUUGGCUUCGGUCGGUGUGGUUCUCUGCCCAAGCGUAUUACCAUGAGCAAAUCAGAAUGCUCAAAGUAGGCCUUCGUGCCUGAAUGUGUUAGCAUGGAAUAAUAAAUAGGACCCUAGUCUUGUUUUGUUGGUAUACUUGACCUUGGGAAAUGAUGAAUAGGAACGGUUGGGGGCAUUUGUAUUUGGUCGCUAGAGGUGAAAUUCUUGGAUUGACCGAAGACAAACAACUGCGACAGCAUUUGACCUAGGACGUUUCCAUUGAUCAGGGACUAAAGUUGAGGGAUCGAAGACGAUUAGAUACCGUCGUAGUCUUAACCACAAACUAUGCCGACUAGCGAUUGGAUCCUCGCCACUGGCAGGAUUCAGCAGCUUAGCGAAAGUAAAGUU
rnacentral:rRNA from 1 species